UCCUGCCCAAGAGAGAAGUCUCCUUAUGAGCUUGGGAGAUGAUAUCCAGCUGCCGGAGAAUUUCCUCACUGAGUCCCCAGAUUUUGAGGACCCUGUCUCUUCCAUGGAGCCCCUCCUUCCGGAGAGCAUCUUUCCCUCUCUGGAUCCAACAGAGCCCAGGGAGUCCGGGCAGGCCCAGGACGUGUUGGCAACCCCUCCUCGGCCCUGUGAUGACACUGGAGGCCAGUCUCAGGAGCCCCAAGCCAAGACAGACGUGCCCAUCCCAAGACCCUCCCCAGGGAAACCAUCCAAGGCAUCCAACAAGCCUGAACUCAAUACAAAGGCAAAGAGAGGGAAAAGGCCAGCAAGUGAAGGGGAACCAAGGAGGAAGGGGACAAAGACAAACAAAAGCUCAGAUACCACCACAGCUCCAAAUGCUUCUGGGGAGGGAACGGCUUUGGGGGCACAUAAACUGUAAAAAAGAAGACGACAACCUCAGUGACCAACACCCAGACAACCUUGGUCAUUUUGCGGUGUCCCACAGAGCCCCCUGAUUCUUCCACAUUUAUAAGGGACACUUUCAUCCCGUGGAGAACACCCCCUCCUGACCUGCAAGUCUCAAAGCCCAUCACAAAAGAGCAACGACCCAUUAGGAAAUAAUGAAACUUCAGGCCCAGCGGGAGAGGGAGGAGGCCACCAACUGGACCACAGUGGGGGUGAAGUACUUAGUGGAGCAGUAAAAGGAAAUGGACCUCUCUAUCGCCUAGGGCGAUAUCCUUCACACAUCAAAAGAGUAACUACCUUUACAAAGGAAAAUCUUCUCCAUCAAAUUGCUGACCUUAACAAUGAACAAUGCAUUCCAUUGGUGGUUGGUCUCCAUCCAGCAUCUCAGAAUUAUAGCAGAACAAUUAGAGAAAGCUGAAAAGGGUCAUCAUAACUCAGAAGAGAUUUGACGGCACACAAUCAUUAUCCAUUGUGGGCAUCAGCAUGCAUCCAGUGAUAGCAUUAUACUGGCAUCCCAAAAUACAGAAAUUACUUGUCAGAAAUAUUGUCAGACACUAGUCAGCCAUCCUGGGUCAUACCAUUGUGCUUCCAAGAGCCCUGUUACAUGCAUAUUUCUCAGGAUGACAGUCAUCUUUAAUUAAGAGCACCAUGAGCAGCAGGUAUUCUUAAUUAAACGGAACAUUACCUGUAGGGCCUGCAAUCUAUAUCACUGUGUGCAUACUGCUGGGAUGCCAUCUGCAGUUUAUGGACAAAACAACAACAAUCACCCUACAUACUGACUUCAGAAACCACAAAUCUGCAAUCUUGACCAAGAAAUUGGAACAACCAAUGAUUAGAUUGAGCAACUGUACAUUGGAGAAUUAGCAAUAUAUGUCCACAUUUAUUCUUGGGGCCCAUCAGUGGAGACUUUAAAACAGUGGUUCUUAACCUUGGGUUACUCAGGUGUUUUUGAACUGCAACUCCCAGAAACCUCAGCCAGCACAGCUGGUGGCGAAGGCUUCUGGGAGUUGCAGUCCAAAAACACCUGAGUAACCCAAGGUUAAGAACCACUGCACAUAUUCGGUUCCUGCACCCUUCAGUGUUAUGGAUCAGCACUGAACAAAACCCUAAAUAAUGAUCUGACCAGAAACAAUUCCAUUCUUAUUAAGACCAAUAUGUGCAAAAGCAGAUAUAAACAUCUUUCCCCCUUUUUCUAAUGAGAUUAAUCCUCUUAUCCACAGGAAGCAGGAAGAAGUGUUUAGUCAGUUAGAUCCUUUUUUAAUGGUAGUAAUUGCUGGCCUUUCAGGAGAACAUGGCUGAUUUUUCUUAAUAAAGGGGCCAGGUGAAAUAGGAGCA
ensembl:lncRNA